rnacentral:tRNA from 1 species
ACGCCCGUAGCUCAGCUGGUAGAGCGCCUCCCUUACAAGGAGGAUGUCGGGGGUUCGAGUCCCUCCGGGCGUACCA